AGAAUCAACGCUGGCGGCGUGCCUAACACAUGCAAGUCGAACGAGAAAGUGGGAGCAAUCCCACGAGUAAAGUGGCGCACGGGUGAGUAACACGUGACUAACCUACCCUUGAGUGGGGGAUAACCUAGGGAAACCUGGGCUAAUACCGCAUAAUACCUACGGGUCAAAGGAGCAAUUCGCUUAAGGAGGGGGUCGCGGCAGAUUAGUUAGUUGGCGGGGUAAUGGCCCACCAAGACAGUGAUCUGUAUCCGGCCUGAGAGGGCGCACGGACACACUGGAACUGAAACACGGUCCAGACUCCUACGGGAGGCAGCAGUGGGGAAUUUGCGCAAUGCGCGAAAGCGUGACGCAGCAACGCCGCGUGGGGGAAGACGGCCUUCGGGUUGUAAACCCGUUUCACGUUGGACGAAGCUCCGUCGGUGAUAGCCGGCUGGAGUGACGGUACCUUCAGAGAAGCCCGGCUAACUACGUGCCAGCAGCCGC
rnacentral:rRNA from 1 species